UCCAGUAUCCCUUGUGGUAUAAACAUAGAAGAGAUGAACGUACUGUUACUUCGCUUCUACUACUUGCAAGCUUCCUUUGUGCUUUUAUUUCGAGAUUUGCUACGCGCAAUUAUGUCUAUGUCCAGUUUUAAGGAAUGUAUGUGCGAGCUGGAGAGACAAUACGAGAACCUUUUCAAACCUUCGAUGCAGUUGUAUUCGGACAAUCACACAAAACAGCUGGAGGGAGGGUUGUACUGAUAUCAAAGAAACAUGGAGAAAGAUUCGGGACCAGUAUGUUCGCAAUCUGAAAAGGGUGAAGGAGAUGAGGAGUGGGGCUGCUGGUGUGUGUGACCCACCGAUUGUCUGACAACUGGAUUGGUUUCGUGUUCAAGUGAAACAUCGUCAGACAGACACCAAUAUGCCAGAUACGGUAUUGGAGGGCGGUGGAGUUUUGGACAGCCCAGAGACAGAGCAGAGCCCUGAGGGCCCAUCUACAGGUGGUUCAUCGCCCCUUGGUUCAUCAUCUCCCUCUCUCCCCGGCCUGAUUCAUCACCUUCACGGCCCCUCUCCCCAGGCCUUUCUCACCAACACCCAACGCACCGUCCAGGCGCACCCUUGCUCUCUGACCAGCAACUCCAUCAACCUCCGCCACAUCUCUCCGAACCAGCUCCAACGGCCGGAAGAGGAAGACUGCUGAGGAUCUUUUGGACACUGACAUUAUGCAGCAGGAGUUACAGAAACAGCAGCAGUGUCCAGCAGAGGCAGUAUACGACAUCAUGGUACCAUGGAUGGUGUCUAUUCUUGCUGAUCAAUGUCUCCCGUUUGUCAGGGACAUGACGAUGUCCUUUCACAGGACCAUCGAUCAGUGCGCCGUCCGCUCUCAAGUGAGACAGAGCCCUCUGUCUCACCCCAAAAACAGAUGUUGUGUGCUUUUCUUAUACUCACGUACGGGUGGUGGGUAAUUUACUAAGGUUAUUUCCUCAUUCAAAUGUUACUAGUGUUUACUUUGAUUUUUUUUUCACUUAUUUCCCCUUUCAUCACACUUUUCACCGGUGUAUUACAUUGUUUUACAUUGCACUAUUUCCCUAAAUAAAUAUCUGAAAUGUC